AGUUUAUUUACUUACACGAUGGAUUACAGAACAUUACGAAAACUUGCGAUUGUGUUUGGGCUUGUUAUACAUGCACAGGCGGAAGAAUUUCUAGUCGGAACAACUCUCAAGCUCCCUUGCAACGUACCCGAGUCUUUCUCAAAGUUCACAUGGGAUAAAUCUGCAACGUUGAUAGCGGAAGUGAAGGAAGGCAGUCCAGCGGUGGCGGCGGAUCCAAGAGUAAGCGUCGACACUAACGAGAAUCUCGGGGAAUUAUCCAUCCGGAACAUUCUUGAACACGAUGCCGGAGAUUAUUUUUGCACCGUGGAGUUUUCUGAUCGGCUGCCACAAACGACUAGAUAUACAGUCUACAUUGUUGACUCAACAAGUAAACCACCGAGCCCGACUACGAGUACGAGAGUGGCUCAAAGUUCGACAGUCUCGACAGAUUCAGCCUCAACAAGUAAACCACCGAGCACGACUUCGAGUACGAGAGUGGCUGUAAGUUCGACAGUCUCGACAGACUCAGGUACUCAAAGCACCAAUGAACGAAUUUGUUGCUGCCCCUGCAGCACUCUCCCAAAAGAUCUUGCAGAAGAAGCGGAAAAAAUGAAUUUAAAUAUUUUGGCGUAAUUUUUUUUCAUGCAUUAUUGUCUAAAGAAACUUCCCAUUAGAAGAAAAUUUAUCUGAUGUUUACAUUUAAAGUCAGAAACAUUAUUAAAAACUGUCAUUUCCGAUUGUUGUAUUAAUACCUAAAACCAUUGUUUUAAAUUUCCUCCAUUUUUAUCGUGUCUAGAUACAACGAGUGGUUUAUAAGCAUGUGGGAAAAUUAUUGCAGAGACCGAAUAGGUUCGAAUCGCGGAACGAUCAAGCUCAGAUAAAAAUACGCGAUGAGAUGUUUACUACAAUCAAGAGAAAACAAAGAAGAAGACCUAGAAUCAGUCAUUCAUAUAGCGCCAAAUAAUACCAUUUCAAGACGCUGGCUUGUAAAAUUCAUAUUGUCUUGUGUUUACAGUAAUUCUGAAAAUAUGGUUAUAAUCCUAAUUGUAUUUAUGAAGAUUGAAUGGCGAGAUGAAAAAGCGAAUAAGAUGUUGUGGAUAGUUUCCCAUGUACAUGUAAAUCGUAGCUCUGUCUCAUUGCGUUAUUGUUUUAAUUUUGAAUGUGUUCAGAAACGGGACAAAUGACUCUAGUAUUCUUAUUUAAUAUGUAUAUAUUGUAACUAUGUACGUGGUUUGCUCCUGGCUUAAAUGUCAAAAAACAGGCGGACAUUUUCGGUAGCAUACAAUAUCAUAUUGCUGUGUGUGUGAGAGGAAGAUAAAAAAAAUUAUAUGUAUAC
rnacentral:misc_RNA from 1 species